rnacentral:rRNA from 1 species
UACGGAGGGUGCGAGCGUUGUCCGGAAUCACUGGGCGUAAAGGGCGCGUAGGCGGUGCGGUAAGUCACCUGUGAAAUCUCCUGGCUCAACUGGGAGCUUGCAGGCGAAACUGCCGUGCUGGAGUGUGGGAGAGGUGCGUGGAAUUCCCGGUGUAGCGGUGAAAUGCGUAGAUAUCGGGAAGAACACCCGUGGCGAAGGCGGCUCUCUGGGACGGUACUGACGCUGAGACGCGAAAGCGUGGGGAGCGAACAGG